GAUGAAGAACGUAGCGAAAUGCGAUAAGUAGUGUGAAUUGCAGAAUUCAGUGAAUCAUCGAAUCUUUGAACGCACAUUGCGCCCCUUGGUAUCCCGAGGGGCAUGCCUGUUCGAGCGUCAUUUCACCACUCAAGCCUGGCUUGGUGUUGGGCGACGUCCCCUUUGGGGACGCGCCUCGAAACGCUCGGCGGCGUGGCACCGGCUUUAAGCGUAGCAGAAUCUUUCGCUUUGGAAGUCGGGGCCCCGUCUGCCGGAAGACCUACUCGCAAGGUUGACCUCGGAUCAGGCAGGGAUACCCGCUGAACUUAAGCAUAUUAAUAAGCGGAGGA
rnacentral:misc_RNA from 1 species